rnacentral:rRNA from 1 species
AGAGCAGUCGCCACGGGAAUACAGAGGGUGCGAGCGUUAAUCGGAUUUACUGGGCGUAAAGCGUGCGUAGGCGGCUUCUUAAGUCGGAUGUGAAAUCCCUGAGCUUAACUUAGGAAUUGCAUUCGAUACUGGGAAGCUAGAGUAUGGGAGAGGAUGGUAGAAUUCCAGGUGUAGCGGUGAAAUGCGUAGAGAUCUGGAGGAAUACCGAUGGCGAAGGCAGCCAUCUGGCCUAAUACUGACGCUGAGGUACGAAAGCAUGGGGAGCAAACAGGAUUAGAUACCCCAGUAGUCCCUGUCUCUUAUAC